UACGUAGGGUGCGAGCGUUAAUCGGAAUUACUGGGCGUAAAGCGUGCGCAGGCGGUUGUGCAAGACAGAUGUGAAAAUCCCCCGGGCUCAACCUGGGAACUGCCAUUUGUGACUGCACGGCUGGAGUGCGGCAGAGGGGGGAUGGAAUUCCGCGUGUAGCAGUGAAAAUGCGUAGAUAUGCGGAGGAACACCGAUGGCGAAGGCAGGUCUCUGGGCUGACACUGACGCUCAUGCACGAAAGCGCGGGGAGCA
rnacentral:rRNA from 1 species